CAAUAGCGUAUAUUAAAGUUGUUGCAGUUAAAAAGCUCGUAGUUGGAUUUCGGGGCAGCCUGGCUGGUCCGCCGCAAGGCGAGUACUGGUCAGCCGCCCUUCCUCUCGAAAGCCCCGACUGCUCUUUAUUGCAGUGGUCGGGUAGUUCGGGACGUUUACUUUGAAAAAAUUAGAGUGUUCAAGGCAGGCCUACGCCUGAAUACAUUAGCAUGGAAUAAUGGAAGAGGACCUCGGUCCUAUUUUGUUGGUUUCCAGGACCGAAGUAAUGAUUAAGAGGGACAGUUGGGGGCAUUCGUAUUUAAUUGUCAGAGGUGAAAUUCUCGGAUUUAUGAGAGACGAACAACUGCGAAAGCAUUUGCCAAGGAUGUUUUCAUUAA
rnacentral:rRNA from 1 species